GAGGGACACACACAUCUUUUAAGAUAUGAGUCAGUCGCCGUCACCUACGUUAUGACUGUUGAAAGAAUGAUGAAAUCAAUAAAAUGAAUGAAUGGUUCCCGAAACUACCACUGAGGAUUUCCCGACCGUCGCUAAGUGACGUGAGACUUGUGAAGAACUCAAGCAUCCUACAAACAUUUAAUCAGAAUUUAAUGUGGCAAGGGAUGUGACAGAUGGAUGUACGGAGCGAUGUGGGAAUACAUAAUAGGACGCGGAGUCCAUCAUGAGUUCAGAGAAAAGGUUCUGGAAAUUCGAAUUGAGUCCUGAAGAAUGAGUUAGCAUCUGCGAGUGGUUAAAGGAAAAAGAGGUGCUGUGCAGAAGAAAAUGAGUAUAGGAAAUGAUGUACGUGGGAAACCUAACUAAUUCAGUGCCCCUACACUGUCAGUCUAGGGCUGCAAACUCAAAUGUCUGCAUUAAAGGAAGCAACCAGGAAAAUCUACGCUCAUGAGAGCUGGGGUUGUUGAAAACUGCAGAAGUUAUUUCCGCUGAAAGUGGGGCCGAACCUAUUCAGCCAGGCAGGGUCUCACUCUGUUGCCCAGGCUGGAGUGCAGUGACAGUAUGGCUCACUGUAACCUGGAACUCUUGGGCUCAAGCGAUCCUCCUGCUUCAGCCUCCCAAAUAACUGGGACUACAGGCACGAACACCAUGCCCAGCACCAGCGUCUGGUAGAAAGAAGACCAGCUGGGCGAUGGCCGCUAACCCUACCACCCCUCAUUGCCGGAUUCCCCUCACCUUCUGGGCCCAUUAAGGACUUUGUCGGUUGUUCUCGGGACUAGGCAUUUAGGUUGUUUCCCUAUAUUGGCUGCAAUGCUGCAAUGAACAUGGGAUCGCAUUUAUCUAUACAAGGUGGUUAUCUCAUUUUAUUUGGGUAUAUCCCCUAAAGAGGGAUUGUUGGGUCAUAUGUAGCUCUAUUUUCAGUUUAUUUAGAAACCUCCAUACUGUUUUCCACAAUGGCUAUACAUUCUCACUAACAAUGCACAAAGGUUCUCUGUUCUCUUCACCCUUAUCCACGUUUAUGAUUAAUAUCUUUUGACUUUUUGAUAAUAGUCAUCCUAUUAUUAUCUAGUAUCUCAUAAUGGUUUCAAUUCACAUUUCCCUUAUGAUUAGUGAUGUUGAACACCUUUUCAUAUCCAUCUUGGCCAUUUUUCUUCUUGGAGAAAUGUCUUUUCAGGUUUUUGCCUAUUUUUAAAUGGGAUCAUUUGUUUUCCUGCUAUUGAGUUGUAUGAGUUCUUUAUCAAUUUGAUGUAUCUUAUUAGAUAUAUAGUUUGCAAAUAUUUUUUCCAAUCCAUAGGUUGCCAUUUCAUUUUGUUGCUUGUUGUCUUUGCUAUGCAGAAGCUUUUCAGCUUGAUGUAGUCCCAUUUAUUUAUUUUUGCUUUUGUGGCCUGGGCUUUUGAUGUGAUAGCCAAAAAAUCAUUGCUAAGGCCAAGGUUCAGGAGCUUAUCAUACAUUUUAACAGCUGGAAGAGCUCAUCCACUCUCAUUAUUUUUUUCUCAGAAUUUUUCUUAUCUGUCUCACUUUUGUUUUUUAGUUGAGGAUUAGUAUCAUCUUGUCAAGUUAAAAAAUUGUAUAUUGAUUAAUUUAGGGAAAAUUGACAUCUUUACAAUACUGAGUCUUCCUAUCCAAAGCAAUAUGUCUUCUUUACAUUAUUUUUUACUUUGAUAAGUGUGGUUUAAAUGUAGCUUUUAUUAAUUUACUAAAUGAUACAUUUUAUUUAUUCUUGUUAAUUAUUAUUGUCCUAACUCACUAUUAUUUGUAUAAAAGAAAGUUAUUUUUUAUUUUAAUAUUCCCUUUCACUUUACUGAAUUUUAUUUUACCACUUUUACCACAUUAUUUAUUAUUAUUGUUAUUUUUAUUAUUUUGAGACAGAGUUCCGCUCUUGUUGUCUAGGCUGGAGUGCAAUGGUGUGAUCUCGGCUCACCACAACCUCUGCCUCCCAGGUUCAAGUGAUUCUCCCGCCUCAGCCUCCCGAGUAGCUGGGAUUACAGGCAUGCACCACUAUGCCCGGCUAAUUUUGUAUUUUAAGUAGAGAUGGGGUUUCUCCAUGUUGUCAGGCUGGUCUCCAACUCCUGACCUCAGGUGAUCCACCUGACUUGGCUCCCAAAGUGCUGGGAUUACAGGUGUGAGCCACCACGCCCUGCCUAUUGUUAUUAUUUUUAUUAUUUUCCAGAGUCUUGCUCUGUCACCAGACUGGAGUGCUCUGGUGCGACCUUGGCUCACUGCAACCUCCGCCUCCCAGGAUCAAGCACUUCUCAUGCUUCGGCCUCAUGAGUAGCUGGGACUACAGGUGUGCACCACCAAGCCAGGCUAAUUUUUGUAUUUUUAGAAGAGAUGGGGUUUUGCCAUGUUGGCCAGGUUGGUCUUGAACUCCUGACCUCAGGUGAUCCACCCACCUCAGCCUCCCAAAAUGCUGGGAUUAUAGGCAUGAACUGCUGUGCCUGGCCGUAAUACUUUAUUAUUAUUUGGUUCUCAUGGAUUUCCUAGGUGUAUAAUCACUUACAAAUAAAAGUAAUUUUGGCAUUUAUUUAAAUAUUAUAACCUAUUUUUCUUAUAUAAUUGGAUUGGCUACCUGUUCUAAAACAC